UGUGUACUCCCUUCGUCUGAAAAUACUUGUCGGAGAAAUGGAUGUAUCUAGACGUAUUUUAGUUCUUGAUACAUCCAUUUUUAUCUAUUUUUUUGACAAGUAUUUUCGGACGGAGGGAGUAAUAA
rnacentral:pre_miRNA from 1 species